CAGCCCCGGUAAUACGUAGGUGGCAAGCGUUAUCCGGAAUUAUUGGGCGUAAAGCGCGCGCAGGUGGUUUCUUAAGUCUGAUGUGAAAGCCCACGGCUCAACCGUGGAGGGUCAUUGGAAACUGGGAGACUUGAGUGCAGAAGAGGAAAGUGGAAUUCCAUGUGUAGCGGUGAAAUGCGUAGAGAUAUGGAGGAACACCAGUGGCGAAGGCGACUUUCU
rnacentral:rRNA from 1 species